CAGGAGGCUCUUCCCUCAGGCAGCCUCCUCUCGGGCCAGAAAGAACCCAUGCAUACCGCGUCCGUCCAGGCGUGAUGCGGAGCAGGCUUCAGGGUCCUUGAACAGGAAGUGGCGGCCUUAGAGGAGGAGGCAUGGGAAAAGCUACCUGAAUGGAUCAGCAGACCCAAGAAAACCAUACACAGAAUGACAAUGACCAAGCAAGUGGAAAGAAUCACUACCACCAAACAACAAAGUGGAUCAAGCAGAAUUAACAAUUGUAGCUCCAAAAAGAGAUGAAGAGAGAACCUUGCUCCACAAUUUGAAGAGGUGGAAAGUCAAGAGGAAUGGAACUUUGCAUUUAUUUUCAAACCUCUAUAAUAUAUUGAUUGGUUUUAUGGGC